rnacentral:lncRNA from 1 species
AUGUUCGUCCAGCAGAGGAUGCUCUUCAGUGGAAAAUUCUGAAACCUUAUUCAGCUUUGAUGUAUAGCUGGCACAGUUUGUUAAUAAUCUCUAUGAACAUUUGUACAAAUGGUGACAAAAAAGUUCUUUUAUAACCAUGGAAUCAUGACAUGGAAUGUAUUAUUAAUGUGUAUACCUUCAAUGUGGAUUAUCGAAGACUACUUUCGUUUCAUAUUCAUGCAAAAACUUCUUCGGGAAUGUUGAAAUUUUUGCUUGUACUGUCUUUUCCUGGAGUCAUUGAAAUAUCCCCUUGCACAUAAAUUUGUUUUCUACUGAAUUUUUGUCAAGAUACUCUGGUACUAACAUUUAACUAUUUUGUAGGAAUGAAGAUCUCAAGGGAGCAAAAGGAACAAGGAGAAAGGAGCGCUCAAGAGAAGUGAACUCAAAGUCCAAGAUGCAAUCUUCACAUAGCUCACAAAUAUUAACCAGUAAACACUACUUGAUUCGUGAUGGCAUUGGACCAGACACACAACAUCCAGUUCUAUAAUAAGUAUAUUCGUGAUUGCAUUGGACCAGACACACGGAGAUGCUCGCUUGUCGUCGAGGAGUGUAGCUUGUAAUCGAAGUUGGCGCUACAAAGCUUGUUCUCAAAACCGACAACCAACUUAUGGCGCAGGUUAUUAACUCAGAUGUUAUCGACCGAUCCAGGUUUGGUCCUCUUGUCUAGGAGAUAAAGAAGAUGUUGUGAGGCAUCGACGAGUUCUGAGUGGCUUGGGCCAGAAGAAUAGCAAACAAAGCUGCUCAGAUCUUAGCUAGGGAGGGUUGCCUUUUAAAUUUAUGCAAAACUUGGUUU